UGGGGAAUUUUGGACAAUGGGCGAAAGCCUGAUCCAGCAAUGCCGCGUGCAGGAUGAAGGCCCUCGGGUUGUAAACUGCUUUUGUACGGAACGAAAAGCCUGGGGCUAAUACCCCCGGGUCAUGACGGUACCGUAAGAAUAAGCACCGGCUAACUACGUGCCAGCAGCCGCGGUAAUACGUAGGGUGCGAGCGUUAAUCGGAAUUACUGGGCGUAAAGCGUGCGCAGGCGGUUAUGUAAGACAGAUGUGAAAUCCCCGGGCUCAACCUGGGAACUGCAUUUGUGACUGUAUAGCUAGAGUACGGCAGAGGGGGAUGGAAUUCCGCGUGUAGCAGUGAAAUGCGUAGAUAUGCGGAGGAACACCGAUGGCGAAGGCAAUCCCCUGGGCCUGUACUGACGCUCAUGCACGAAAGCGUGGGGAGCAAACA
rnacentral:rRNA from 1 species